UAGGGAAUCUUCGGCAAUGGACGAAAGUCUGACCGAGCAACGCCGCGUGAGUGAAGAAGGUUUUCGGAUCGUAAAACUCUGUUGUUAGAGAAGAACAAGGACGUUAGUAACUGAACGUCCCCUGACGGUAUCUAACCAGAAAGCCACGUCUAACUACUUGCCAGCAGCCGCGUUAAUACGUAGGUGGCAAGCGUUGUCCGGAUUUAUUGUGCGUAAAGCGAGCGCAGGCGGUUUCUUAAGUCUGAUGUGAAAGCCCCCGGCUCAACCGGGGAGGGUCAAUGGAAACUGGGAGACUUGAGUGCAGAAGAGGAGAGUGGAAUUCCAUGUGUAGCGGUGAAAUGCGUAGAUAUAUGGAGGAACACCAGUGGCGAAGGCGGCUCUCUGGUCUGUAACUGACGCUGAGGCUAGAAAGCGUGGGGAGCAAACAGG
rnacentral:rRNA from 1 species